GUCGCUGCUCUCCUCUCGUCGUCAAUUCUUCUCUCCUCUCGCCACUGCUUGCCUCUCUCCGCCGCCAAUGUUCGCCUUUCGCCGCCGCCAGUCGCAACAAUUAAAUCGCCGAAUUCUAUCGCCGCCGGUCGUAGAUCUCCGAUCACCGCUCACAACUCGCCACUCGUCGCUUGCAACUCGCCGCGCCGCUCGCCGAUCGCAGCAAUCCGGCGACUUCACGGUUAUCUGGUGUGACUGGUUCAGGUUGCUGGCCUGGUCAGGUUGCUGAUGCAGUUUCUGGCCUGGUAGGUUCUGGCCAAUUUCAAGUUGUUGUUUGGAUAUUUCUUGUUUUACUUCCUUUUGGUAAUAAAACUUCUAUUUUACCAAAAAAAAAUUAAAAUCGAUUUUAAUCGAUUUCUCAUUUCAAAACUCGAAAAAAAUCGAACCAAAGUUUGAACGAAAUCGUCGGUGUUCUUCCUAUCAUUUCCAAUCCAGCAUCGGUGGCGGCAGCGACGGAGUUGGAAGCGAGGGAGGCAACAAAAUCGAACAAAAAAUCCGGCGAAAUCGAAUUGAUUGUGGUGGUGGUGGCUGAACUGGUAUGUGGUGGUGGUGGUGGCAUUCUCAAUUGAUUGUUCAAAAUGUACUCGGAUUUUGCAAAAUGCAAAAAUUAGAACAUACUAUAAUAAAUUUAGAACAUGCUUGAAUAUAUUUUAGAACAUGCUUGAAUAACAUUUGAACAUUGUUGAAUAAAGUUAGUACAUGCUUGAAUAAAUUUAGAACAUGUUUGAAUAAAGUUAACAUGCUUGAAUAAAUUUUGAAACACAGAUGAAUAAAGUUAGAACAUGCUUGGAUAAAUUUAGAAAAAUUGAAUAAAUAUAGAACAUGUUAGAAUAAAUUUAGAACAUGCUUGAACGGUUUUAGAACAUGUUUAAUAAUUUUAGAACAUGCUUGAGUUAAUUUUGAAACACGGUUGAAUAAAGUUAGAACAUACUGAAAGCUUGAAUAAAUUUAGAACAUGCUUGAAUUAUUUUUGAAACACGAUUGAAUGUUAUAACUUGCUGAAAGCUUGAAUAAAUUUAGAAAUGCUUGAAUAAAUUCAGAACAUGCUUGAAUGGAUUAAGAACAUGCUUGAAUAAAUUUAGAACAUGGUUGAAUAAAUUUAUAACAUGUUUAAUAAUUUUAGAACAUGCUUGAAUUAAUUUAGAACAUGAGCUUGAAAUUUUAGAACAUGUAUAUAUGUAUAUGUGUUGACUAGGUUCUCAUGUUCUAAAUUUAGAACAUUGUUGAAUAAAUUUAGAACAUUGUUGAAUAAAUUUAGAACAUGCUUGAAUAAAUUUAGAACAUGGUUGAAAAAAUUUAGAACAUCGUUGAAUAAAUUUAUAAAUGCUUAAAUAAAUUUAGAACAUGAGCUUGAAAAUUUAGAAAAUAGUUGAAUAAUUUUGCAACAUGCUUGAAUUAAUUUAGUACAUGAGCUUAAAAAUUUAGAACAUGGUUGAAUAAAAUUAAAACAUACUUGAAUAAAUUUAGAAUAUGCUUGAAAAAAUUUAGAACAUCGUUGAAUAAAUUUAGAACACGAGCUUGAAAAUUUAGAACAUGGUUGAAUAAAUUUAGAACAUGGUUGAACAAAUUUAGAAUAUGAUUGGACAAAUUUAGAACAUGGUUGAACAAAUUUAGAACAUGGUUGAACAAAUUUAGAACAUGAGCUUGAAAAUUUAGAACAUGGUUGGACAAAUUUUGAACAUGGUUGGACAAAUUUUGAACAUGGUUGAACAAAUUUUGAACAUGGUUGAAAUUUUUUUGAACAUGGUUGAACAAAUUUUGAACAUGGUUGAACAAAUAUAGAACAUGGAGAGUGUAAAAGUGUUUUUACCGUAAGAAGUGUUCUUACCUAAGGAGGUGUUCUUACCGGAUCCCUCUAUAGAGGAAGGCUCAUGUGAGAACACCCCCUUUAUGUGAGAACACAAUCUUAUGUGAGAAUAAAUUUGGGCCUUUGGAUAUUUUCUAAUCUAACAUCUCAAAAUCAAGGGUUUAGUAAUGGUAUUUUUGUAAAUUUAUUGAACAAUUACCCAGCCAUUUUCCUCCUUCUUCACGCUCACUGCUUCUCUAAAAUCUACAGACCUCUAUUUUUUCUCUCUUCAUUGUGCCGCCAUUAGAGGCUUAGAGCUUCAAUUAAGGUUUGAGUACACUUCACUUUUGGCCUAAUAGGCGCGAUUUCACCCCAGAUUCUCAAAUAUAUUCACCACAUUUCCAGAUUUCGUGAGUUUAUAGAUUCAGUUAUGCAAAGGACGCGAGGAUCUUGGCCGGUUACCAUGAUAUCCGAAAUUUUCCGGAAAAAGACUUCAUCGAAUCUGUUUCUUCAAACAAUACUCGAUUUCAAUAUUUGUUGUGCAACUAGAGUUGAUGAUUUUAUUUGUUACAUCUUUUUUUUUGUUUACUUUUGAAGAAUUAUGUAAUGAUGUACUCUUUGUUAUAUCAUUUUUUUAUAUCUUAUUUUUAGUGUUACAUCUUAGUUACUAUUCUGGAUUGACACAGUGUUAUGAUUCAAAUUGUUAUAUAAAU